CAUAAAUAGGUAGGAGCAGUUUUGCUAAAUACCAAAAGUAAGGACAAAAUCUAGCUUAUGUAUUUGAACAUGAAGUAAGUAAGAGCAUAAGUGGACUUUAUUUUCAGUUCCUGUUCCCCUGUACUGUAGAUUACUGAGAUGCAAUUAAUGUAUAACUUCAGUGAUGUAAAACUCAUCAAAUAAAGUGCUAAACAUGCAUACCAGGGGUGCAAGAGCCUUUGGACAGUGGUGUUAAAGUGUGCAUGGCUUUAUGAGUGGGAGCCACAGGACAGGGCAAGACAGAAACAGAAGUGAUGUAACAUUUAAUUGCAAUUACACACUAAGAAAAUGAUCAAACGUAUGAAUACUUUCCAAGAAGUCUCUGCUGCUUCAAAACAGACCUGACCAUGGGAAAACUGCUACAAACUUAUCCAUACACCCAUACAUCAGAGAAAAUUAGGUUGGGAAUGACCUCUUAUGUUAUAUGAAUUUAGUACAUUUUAGAUGAAAUGACCUGAAUCUGAAAGCACUUCAGCAACAAAUAACAUGAUAAAGGAGGUAUCUCCAGCACACCAAGAAGGCCAUAUGGAGGACCUUCUAGCCUGGAAGGACCAUUCAAACUACAGUGAUUCAAUACAAGAUGAUUAAGAUUAUUCAAUAAGUCCCUGUCAAAGAAAAGAUUGCAUUGCCACAGUAAAGACCUUAAUUAUUGUAUGUAUUUGGUGUUACUUUUUGACAUAAUAUGAGGCUGCCUAUCAAAUAAAUGAGAAAUGACUUGAUGCAAGGAAAACAUUUUGCUCUUGAUAUAGCAAUUUAUAUGCAUUAUUAGUCAUCUCUAUUCAAAAAUAUGCCCUGGUAUUUAAAAUAAAUUUAUGCAAUGUUAUUGUUAGUCAAUUUUAUCUAAAUUAUUCCUUCCUACUGUUACCGUAAAAUGUAUUUUGAGGUCAGCAUUUCUAAAUAUUAAUUAUAAUAAAGAAUUUACUUUUAUCCAUGAAUAUCUAACUUGUACUUAGCCUCCAACUCAAGUAAUUAAUUUCAUAGAAUCGUAGAGUGGCUUGGGCUGGAAGGAACAUCAAGGGUCAUCACUUUCCACUCCCCUGACACAGGCAGACUUGCCAGACCCUCAAUCAAAUACUGGACCAGAUUGUCCAGAGCCACAUGCAACCUGGCCUUGAACACCUCCAGGGAAGGGGCAUCCACAACCUCUCUGGGCAACCUGUUCCUGCACCUCACCACUCUCUCAAUAAAGAACUUCCCCUUGACAUCUAAUCUAAAUCUUCCUCUCUUUAGCUUGAAAGCCUUCCCUUUUGUCAUAUUACUAUCUACCCAUAUAAUAAGUUGAUUUCCUUAAUGUUUAUAAACUCCCUCUAAAUACUGGAAGGCUGCAAUGAGGUCUCCCUGCAGUUUUCUCUUUUCCAGGAUGAACAAGAUCAGUUUCUUCAGCCUGUCUUCAUAAGAGAAGUGCUCCAGUCCUUGGAUCAUCUUUGUAGCCCUUCUCUGGAGCCUCUCCAAAACCUCCAUAUCUUUCCUGUAUUGGAGGCCCCAGACCUGGACACAGUACUCUAGACGGGGCCUCACAAGGGCAGAAUAGAGGGGAACAAUCAACUUCCUCACUCUGCCGGGUAUGCAUCUUCUGAUGGAAACAAGGAUACGAUUGGCCUUCUGGGAUGCAAGUGCACACUGAAAGAACAAUAUCCAUAAUAAUGAAUGACGUGCUAUGUUGUUAAUUCACAUUGAAGCAAAGCAAAAUAUAUAAAAAUAAACAUAAUUAUUUAAAUAUUUCAUUUAUUAACUUCCAGAACUUCACUGUAUUAGUACAUUUGAUAAAUUAAUUAAAAAGGUGUCUUAUAACUAUUCAUGUAUCUUUGAAUUGAGCAUCACUAGCUGAGCUGCAUUUCCAUAGACUUUAAUCCAUCACUUGCCUGUGAAGCAAUAUUCGCUAUAAAUUUGACACACAGCAGAUCAAAUUGAGGGGGAGUGGCCUCACUAAUUUCCUAAUUGAUUUCAUUGCCUGGGUUAUAACCAUGCAACAAAAGAUAGUGGCAAAAUAUAUUUGAAAGUGAUUAAAGGAUAAGAUAAUAAAAGUCACUUUAGAAGAUGUUAACUUCACAAUCAGUCUAAUUAUUUGAUAUUGGGAUAUUUUUGUAGGUUCAAACUGUUGAAAAAAAAGACAAACAACACCCGCAUUUUCUUUUCUUUGAUAUUCAAACUCAAAGCAAAUGAUGGGACUUACAUGAGUAGAUUGCAUGACUAAGCCUCAUGCAUCCAAAUUAUCAUAAAUGACAGCAACAGAAGCUUAUUUUAUAAAUAGUCUACUAAUGAUUAUUAUGACAAACACAAAAAAUUGAAAAUUCACAUUUCUUAAUAGGAAUUAAAGUGCAAUUAUCACUGAGGGUCUAGCAACUUAGUGUUAGAACCUGUUCUUCUAAACACUUACAUACAAAACCAUAGACCAUAUUACCAGUCUAAAAUUGCACAAUUAUCUUGUACAGUCUCAUUUGACGCUUAAUAUUAUUUAAGUAUGACUCCACUGGCAUAGCGAUGCUUUCAGAUAACACUUUUUCUCUCUAAUUAUUUGCAAAAAGAAAGAACAAUAAUAUUUUAAACAUUUCCUUCUUUUUAAAGACAUUUUUAGAGUAUUUCCUUUAAGUAUCACCAGGCUAAUGGAAAGUCCAUCAAGUAAUUUUUUCUGACAUGAACAAACAGCUGUGGUGCAGUAUAUUCAGUGAUUUGUUUAAAAAGAAUCAGGAAAUGGCAGGACAUUUUAAAGAAAGCAGAAAGGCUAAGAACUGUCAUUUUUGAAAAGAAAUCUUAAGCUAAAUGUGUCUAUUUUAUUCUUGUUAUUAGUUUAUUCAAUAAAAGAAAGUAUGACAAAUGAUUAUACAGAUUAUGUAGAGACGCUUGGGGAAUAGGCUAAAUAUGGCAUUCUCUGUCAAUCAAAGUAAAAAAUACCUCACAGAUCAAUGAAAAUCCUUCAUUGAAAACUGUGGUUAAUAAGGACGUUUCUUGUUGCCAGCAAUGCUUGGCUGGAAGUAAAAACAGAUGGAAAAAAAUUUGUAGUUACAGCCAGAACCAGAAUCCUCUUUGAAAAUUCAUAGAUUAAUAGAAAUGACUGCAUUUGAUAAGGCAUAAUCUCUAUUUUUGAGUUAACUAUUAGUUUUCAUAAUACUGAAGUGAGGGUUAUGCUGUACUAUUCAAAGAGUAAAAGAACUAUAGCUCCCCUGAGAAAACUGAGAAUGGUACAGUUCCUCUCCAGACACCCAAAUAGGUGCCAUAAGUAAGCAAAUGAUGCAUUCAAUACCUCCACAGCAUGCCUGGCAAUUGAUACCAUGGCUUAUG
ensembl:lncRNA